GUUGUGCUGUAGGACCAGAAGCAGCAGCACUGUCCAUGCUACAUUGCACAGCGUUCCUCAAAGCACGCAGCUUGUCUGUGAGAAGUUCAGUAAGAUUCUUCUGUUUUCUGGCUAAAUACUGAUCAUAUAACUGAGCCAGUUUAGCUGCUAACACAUGUUCACGGCUAAAACAGGGAUGAUGUGUGAAUAUUAGUCCAGAAAUAUCAAUAUCCAGUUGAAACGGC
rnacentral:lncRNA from 1 species